rnacentral:rRNA from 1 species
UACGUAGGGGGCAAGCGUUGUCCGGAUUUACUGGGCGUAAAGAGCGUGUAGGCGGCCAAACAGGUCCGUUGUGAAAACUGGAGGCUCAACCUCCAGACGUCGACGGAAACCGUGUGGCUAGAGUCCGGAAGAGGAGAGUGGAAUUCCUGGUGUAGCGGUGAAAUGCGCAGAUAUCGGGAGGAACACCUGUGGCGAAAGCGGCUCACUGGACCAUAACUGACGCUGAUGCACGAAAGCUGGGGGAGCAAACAGG